rnacentral:rRNA from 1 species
UACGUAGGGUGCGAGCGUUGUCCGGAUUCAUUGGGCGUAAAGGGUGCGUAGGUGGCGGGGUAAGUCAGGUGUGAAAUCUCGGGGCUCAACCCCGAAACUGCACUUGAUACUGCCUUGCUGGAGUACUGGAGAGGAGAUUGGAAUUUACGGUGUAGCAGUGAAAUGCGUAGAUAUCGUAAGGAAGACCAGUGGCGAAGGCGAAUCUCUGGACAGUUACUGACACUGAGGCACGAAGGCCAGGGGAGCAAACGGG